GCAAAAGAGAGUUCACAAGCCUUUAGACAAACAUCAGAACAAGCAUAUUUUCCUUCAACAACUAGAUUGCUCUUCAAAGAAUUGAAUGUAAUCCUGUGAAAAUGAACUAGCUUUCAUCAACUCCGACAGUUGCUGCUGGGGAUUUCUGUGAGACUGAAGAGGGUGCCUUUUUACCAGGUCCAGAUGAAACCUUAACCAUAGCUGGUCUUAGAAGGCGGUCUCCAAGUAAAAACCCACAGCAAAAUUCUUCUAUUAUAAUUCCCUCACUAAAUUACUCAGAUUCCUCACGAGCAAUAGCCUCAUGUGAUGCUAAAGAUUAGUAAUAGUUAGACCGCGGGAUCAAAUGGUUUGCCA
rnacentral:misc_RNA from 1 species